UAGGUUUACAAAAUUCCCGAUAGGACGUCACAUCCGUGCCGGAGCCUUGUAACCGAAUAUUUAAGGGGGAAUACGUUAAUG
rnacentral:sRNA from 2 species